rnacentral:sRNA from 1 species
CAUACGACUGACUACGUUCAGGCUCGAGUCAAAGUCAAAGCCGAGAUGAAGAAACGUUCUGCCUACAAUGUUACUGGAGUCAUUGAAGGAGAGUGUCAGUGUGCAGGGGGUUGCAAGCCUGCCUGUUGUAAACAUUUUUUUGGUCUUCUGUCUGCUCUAGCGAGCGGAAAUUUUAAAGUGUUAUGUUGUUUUGUUAGAAGCUACUUCAGGAUGUGUCAACUGUGAUGUUUUUAAGCCGACAACUUUCUACAGAGUUAAAGUAUGCUUUCUUGAACCAUUAUGUGACUAUUGACAAAAAUAGGUAAGCAAGUGAAAACAAGUUUUAUCACUUUCGUUCUCUGAAAGGUGAAUAUUUCUAGUUAAAUGGUUACAAGUACAAGAUUUAUUUGGAUUACUUAAUUAUGGAAUUUAUAAAAGCAAAUUUAAGACGCCAAGACCUAGUUUUCAAUACCAUCAGCUCACCAUUUAGCGCAGAAGCUGAUUCAGCUCCAGAGAACAUAACUCGUAUGACCCGAAAGAGAAGUUCCUGUCAGUUCUUCCGCAGGAGUUUUUUUGGGUGCCAGAAGCAGUAUUUCUACACUUACAAAAACUUUGGGUAGACAUACAUAUGUGAACAAGUAUUUUUUUGUGUGGAAACUAAACAAAUGUAAUUAAAGGUCGAUGUUGACUGACUGUAAUUUAA